GAUGAACGCUGGCGGCGUGCCUAAUACAUGCAAGUCGAGCGAAUGGAUUAAGAGCUUGCUCUUAUGAAGUUAGCGGCGGACGGGUGAGUAACACGUGGGUAACCUGCCCAUAAGACUGGGAUAACUCCGGGAAACCGGGGCCAAUACCGGAUAACAUUUUGAACCGCAUGGUUCGAAAUUGAAAGGCGGCUUCGGCUGUCACUUGUGGAUGGACCCGCGUCGCAUUCGCUAGUUGGUGAAGUAACGGCUCGCCAAGGCAACGAUGCGUAGCCGGCCUGGGAGGGUGAUCGGCCACACUGGGACUGAGACACGGCCCAGACUCCUACGGGAGGCAGCAGUAGGGAAUCUUCCGCAAUGGACGAAAGUCUGACGGAGCAACGCCGCGUGAGUGAUGAAGGCUUUCGGGUCGUAAAACUCUGUUGUUAGGGAAGAGCAAGUGCUAGUUGAAUAAGCUGGCACCUUGACGGUACCUAACCAGAAAGCCACGGCUAACUACGUGCCAGCCGCCGCAGUAA
rnacentral:rRNA from 1 species